rnacentral:misc_RNA from 1 species
GAAGAUGAAUCCAGAAAUCAAUGGCGUCGAUGGGUCGGAAUCGAAUCCGAUUUCGACAUCGGAUCCGAAUUCCCGUCGAAUUUUCUUCGGAGAUCAAUCACAUUACGUUGAUCCUGAUCCAGGACAUUCAUUUCAAGCUAUACGUGAACAGAUUUUCGGAUCAAAUCAAAGUUCGAAAAAAUUAGCUCCGAUGAAUGGAUUUGUUCAACAAGCUCUUUCAAUGGAUACUAAUAUGCCUGAACAAGUCAUGAAUGGUUUUCAGCCUCAAAUGGUGUCAGUAUAUAAAACUCUAGUAUCGGAAUUUGCGGUGUUCGACCGGUGGUUUGCUUCGGUGCCGGCUUCAACGCAGCCGAACCGGCUGUAUAUCCAUU